rnacentral:rRNA from 1 species
UACGGGGGGGGCAAGCGUUGUUCGGAAUUACUGGGCGUAAAGGGCGCGUAGGCGGCUCGCUAAGUCGGAUGUGAAAACUCUGGGCUCAACCCAGAGCCUGCAUUCGAAACUGACGAGCUCGAGUUCUGGAGGGGAAAGCGGAAUUCCUGGUGUAGCGGUGAAAUGCGUAGAUAUCAGGAGGAACACCGGUGGCGAAGGCGGCUUUCUGGACAGAAACUGACGCUGAUGCGCGAAAGCUAGGGGAGCAAACAGG